rnacentral:tRNA from 4 species
GCCCAUGUGACGAAAUCGGUAGACGUAGCGGAUUCAAAAUCCGCCGCCGCAAGGCGUGCCAGUUCGAGUCUGGCCAUGGGCACCA